rnacentral:rRNA from 1 species
GAUGAACGCUGGCGGCGUGCCUAAUACAUGCAAGUCGAGCGAACAGAUGAUGAGCUUGCUCCUCUGACGUUAGCGGCGGACGGGUGAGUAACACGUGGAUAACCUACCUAUAAUACUGGGAUAACUUCGGGAAACCGGAUCUAAUACCGGAUAAUAUAUUGAACCGCAUGGUGCAAUAGUGAAAGACGGUUUUGCUGUCACUUAUAGAUGGAUCCGCGCCGCAUUAGCUAGUUGGUAAGGUAAAGGCCUACCAAGGCAAGGAUGGGUAGACGACGUGAGAGGGUGAUCGGCCACACUGGAACGGAGACACGGUCCAGACUCCUACGGGAGGCAGCAGUAGGGAAUCUUCCGCAAUGGGCGAAAGCCUGACGGAGCAACGCCGCGUGAGUGAUGAAGGUCUUCGGAUCGUAAAACUCUGUUAUUAGGGAAGAACAAAUGUGUAAGUAACUAUGCACGUAUUGACGGUACCUAAUCAGAAAGCCACGGCUAACUACGUG